rnacentral:rRNA from 1 species
CCCUUAGACGUUCUGGGCCGCACGCGCGCUACACUGACCAGUGCAACAAGCAUCCGUCCUUGGCCGACAGGCCCGGGCAAUCUUUGAACGCUGGUCGUGAUGGGGAUAGACUUUUGCAAUUUUUGGUCUUCAACGAGGAAUUCCUAGUAAACGCAAGUCAUCAGCUUGCAUUGAUUACGUCCCUGCCCUUUGUACACACCGCCCGUCGCACCUACCGAUUGAAUGGUCCGGUGAAAUCUCCGGACUGGCGUGAGUCGGAGCAAUCUGACAAACGCCGGAAAGUUGAUUAAACCUUACCAUUUAGAGGAAGGUGAAGUCGUAACA